GACGAACGCUGGCGGCGUGCUUAACACAUGCAAGUCGAACGGUGAACCUCUACGGAGGGGAUCUGUGGCGAAGGGGGGCGUAACACGGGGGCAACCUGCCCCCGGCUCUGGGUUAAGUGGAAGAAAUUGGGGCUAAUAUCGCACGUUCACCGCAUCCCGCCUGGGGGGGGGUGGAAAGGAUUUUCGGCUCGGGCUGGGCUGGCGGCCCAGCUGCUGGUUGGUGGGGUAGUGGGAGACCAAGCCGACGACGGAUAGCCGCCCUGGGAGGGGAGACGGCCACAAUGCGACUGAGGGACGGCGCAGACUCCUACGGGAGGCAGCAGUGGGAAAUAUGGCGCAAUGGGCGGGAGCGUGAGGAAGAGGCGCCGCGUGGGGAAUGACGGCCUUCGGGUUGUGAACCGCUUUCAGCUGGGACGAAGCGCAAGUGACGGUACCUGCAGAAGAAGCACCGGCUAACUACGUG
rnacentral:rRNA from 1 species